rnacentral:rRNA from 1 species
CAGUAGCCGCGGUAAUACGGAGGGGGCUAGCGUUGUUCGGAAUUACUGGGCGUAAAGCGCACGUAGGCGGCUUUGUAAGUCAGAGGUGAAAGCCCGGGGCUCAACCCCGGAAUUGCCUUUGAGACUGCAUCGCUUGAAUCCAGGAGAGGUGAGUGGAAUUCCGAGUGUAGAGGUGAAAUUCGUAGAUAUUCGGAAGAACACCAGUGGCGAAGGCGGCUCACUGGACUGGUAUUGACGCUGAGGUGCGAAAGCGUGGGGAGCAAACAGGAUUAGAUACCCCCGUAGUCCCUGUCUCUUAUAC